rnacentral:rRNA from 1 species
AAAUCAACCGAGAUUCCCCCAGUAGCGGCGAGCGAACGGGGAGCAGCCCGGAGUCUGAAUCAGCUUGUGUGUUAGUGGAAGCGUCUGGAAAGUCGCAGGGUACAGGGUGAUACUCCCGUACACUAAAGCACACAGGCUGUGAACUCGAAGAGUAGGGCGGGACACGUGGUAUCCUGUCUGAAUAUGGGGGGACCAUCCUCCAAGGCUAAAUACUCCUGACUGACCGAUAGUGAACCAGUACCGUGAGGGAAAGGCGAAAAGAACCCCGGCGAGGGGAGUGAAAAAGAACCUGAAACCGUGUACGUACAAGCAGUAGGAGCCCCACCACCAAAGCGUUUCGCUUUGCGUGGUGCGCAAAAUGCGUAACGACAGCAUGAUGGACGGUUAACGGAGCGUAAGCGACGUUCAACAUCCAGAAUCAGGCAGUGGAGCGUUUUGGGGUGGGGUGACUGCGUACCUUUUGUAUAAUGGGUCAGCGACUUAUAUUCUGUAGCAAGGUUAACCGUAUAGGGGAGCCGCAGGGAAACCGAGUCUUAACUGGGCGUUAAGUUGCAGGGUAUAGACCCGAAA